rnacentral:rRNA from 1 species
ACCCGCUGAAUUUAAGCAUAUAAGUAAGCGGAGGAAAAGAAACAAACAUGUAUUUCCUUAGUAAUGGCGAAUGAACGGGAAUAAAUUCAGAAUGAUGAUCUAUGCUUUUGGCUUCGAGUUGUAGUUUCAAAAUGCAUUACCAAUGGAGGCGCAGGUGUAAGAUUUGUGGAAAUAACACCAUGGAGGGUAAGAGCCCCGUUCAUCAUCUGCAGUCCUCUAUGUACGGUGUGCAUUUACAGAGUCACGUUCCUCGGGAUUGGAACGCAAAGUGAGUGGUACAUUUCAUUUAAAAUUAAAUAUAAUUUCGAGACCGAUAGCACACAAGUACCACGAGGGAAAAAUGAAAAGGACUUUGAAAGGAGAGUUAAAAGUACCUGAAAUCGUUGAAGGGGAAGCGAAUGGGAUCAGUUAAGCUUGGCGAGAUGUUUGCACUAGUCUCUCACAUCCGCGCCUUCAAAGCGAUAGUGCUGCUUGCGAUGAAACUAGUGCAGCGGUGCUCAACAUGUUUGUCAACGCUAAUCUGGCGAUGUGCAAAACCUUCAGUGUAAGGUAAGCAGCCUGCUUGAUGCUGGAUGUACUGAUAGGUGCUCAUUUCCAGUUUAUUAAAUCAAUGCUUUGUUGUGAUUGUGUUGCUUUGGUUAGCUCUUGCUUUUAAUCGAGCUCUAGCUGUCUGACGAAAUGCGUGUUCAAAAGCUUGUCUGCUGACGAAAUUGUCACAUUUGACCCGUCUUGAAACACGGACCAAGG